UCGAUGCCCCUCAGGAAGAGAGACCCGCGAACCGGUUGGCAGAAUUGCCGGGCGGGGAUGGCGCCUCCGCGGAGGCCCCGCCCCUCCCGCGCGCCGGGGCCGCGGCCUCGCCGCCCCCGGCUCCAACAACCAAUCCCGGCGCCCCAGGCGCCAAGGAAAAGCAACAAAGCAAGCGCGCCGCUGGCUGGCCCGGUUACGGCGCCAGUGACCCAGCGUCGCGCCUUAUGCCAUUUGCAUCCAGAACGACUCUCGGCAACGGAUAUCUCGGCUCUCGCAUCGAUGAAGAACGUAGCGAAAUGCGAUACUUGGUGUGAAUUGCAGAAUCCCGUGAACCAUCGAGUCUUUGAACGCAAGUUGCGCCCGAAGCCAUUAGGCCGAGGGCACGUCUGCCUGGGUGUCACGCAACGUCGCCACCGCCCCCGCCCGGGGCGUGGCGGAUGAUGGCUUCCCGGGAGCCCCGUCUCCCGGCCAGCCGAAAAAGGGGCCCAACGUGACGACAGCCACGAUCCACGGUGGAUGAGUGAGCUACGUGCGCUCGAGACCGGACGUGCGCCCGUCGUUCCACGCUAGGGGCCCGACGUGCGGGGCCUCCGACAGGAGCGCCCCCGACUCGCAC
rnacentral:rRNA from 1 species